AUUGAACGCUGGCGGCAGGCCUAACACAUGCAAGUCGAACGAGUGGCGGACGGGUGAGUAAUGUCUGGGAAACUGCCCGAUGGAGGGGGAUAACUACUGGAAACGGUAGCUAAUACCGCAUACCAUCGGAUGUGCCCAGAUGGGAUUAGCUAGUAGGUGGGGUAACGGCUCACCUAGGCGACGAUCCCUAGCUGGUCUGAGAGGAUGACCAGCCACACUGGAACUGAGACACGGUCCAGACACCUACGGGAGGGAACAGUGGGGAAUAUUGCACAAAGGGCGCAAGCCUGAUGCAGCAAUGCCGCGUGUAUGAAGAAGGCCUUCGGAUUAUAAAGUACUUUCAGCUGGGAGGCGUUACUCGCAGAAGAAGCACCGGCUAACUCCGUGCCAGCAGCCGCGGUAAUAC
rnacentral:rRNA from 1 species